UACGAAGGGAGCUAGCGUUGUUCGGAAUCACUGGGCGUAAAGCGCACGUAGGCGGAUGUGUCAGUCAGGGGUGAAAUCCCGGAGCUCAACUUCGGAACUGCCUUUGAUACAGCACGUCUUGAGUCCGAUAGAGGUGGGUGGAAUUCCUAGUGUAGAGGUGAAAUUCGUAGAUAUUAGGAAGAACACCGGUGGCGAAGGCGGCUCACUGGCCCGAUACGUGACGCUGAGGUGGCGAAAGCGUGGGGAGCAAACAGG
rnacentral:rRNA from 1 species